GGUUGUGGCUGAGUGGUAGAGUGCUUGCCUAGCAUGCAUGAGGCACUGGAUUCGAUCCUCAGCACCA
rnacentral:tRNA from 1 species